rnacentral:rRNA from 1 species
UACGUAGGGUGCGAGCGUUAAUCGGAAUUACUGGGCGUAAAGCGUGCGCAGGCGGUUUUUUAAGUCAGAUGUGAAAUCCCCGGGCUCAACCUGGGAAUGGCAUUUGGGACUGCAAGGCUCGAGUUUGGCAGAGGAGACUGGAAUUCCUGGUGUAGCAGUGAAAUGCGUAGAUAUCAGGAGGAAUACCGAUGGCGAAGGCAGGUCUCUGGGCUGAAACUGACGCUCAUGCACGAAAGCGUGGGGAGCAAACAGG